CACGUAGGGUGCGAGCGUUGUCCGGAAUUAUUGGGCGUAAAGAGCUCGUAGGCGGUGUGUCGCGUCGGCCGUGAAAACCUGCAGCUUAACUGUGGGCUUGCGGUCGAUACGGGCAUCACUGGAGUUCGGCAGGGGAGACUGGAAUUCCUGGUGUAGCGGUGGAAUGCGCAGAUAUCAGGAGGGAACACCCGGGUGGGCGAAGGCGGGUCUCUGGGCCGAAACUGACGC
rnacentral:rRNA from 1 species